CGCUGCUGGCCGGGGGGCUCCGCCUGCGGGCACAACCGAGAAUGGUAGCGAGGAGAAUCCCGCCCCGUCAGCUGGUUUGCCCCAGUGGAAAGCGAACUUGUGUUAUAUCUGUUAGAGAUUUGGUCGCAAAGACGAGGUUUCUGCUGAGAAAAACGGCCAAGGAAUGGCUCAGCUGAGGGUUUGGGGCAGCAGGCGAAUGUGAAUUCAUCACAUUUAUGGAAUCUGAGCCCCAAGCCCAAUGCCCGAGUGAGUAUGGUGAGUUGGGACCUGUAGGUUGUGAGCUCAGGGUGCCAGCUGGCCUGUAACAUACCCUACAGUGGUAGAAAUGCCAGUUAUUUGCAAGCAUUAUCACAAGGUUUUAUCUUCAAUUAUAAACAGGGUGCCUCAUGUAGUCAAGGUUGUCAGCUGCUUUGCAGACCUGAGUGUGUUGCGUGACAUCUCAGCUAUGCACCCUCCCUCCUUUAAAAACAAGGCUGCUAUUCAACAACACUGUAGCGCAUCAUUAUGCACGUUUGGAAGCGUAGUGAGGCUCCAUCCUUCUUGAGGUGUGAAUCAUGAUGGCAGCUCUGCAGAGAAAUGGGCUUUGAUGUGAUUCCCACUAGGCACCUUUUUUUUAUUUUUAUUUUUUUUAAACAAACUCUGUCACCAGAAUCUUUAAGUUAAAAGGAAAACAAACAACAUGCACAGCCCCUAAAACAAACACAACCUCUGACAGUGCUCUUCUGUUGGUAAAUAACCUAGAAAAGAUUAUUUACAAACAUCUGUAGGACAAAGCUGUUUCUGGAGUGAAACUGUUCAAUGUGGGGUAAAGAAGAAGAACUCGUAGGCAUCUAAGUUGCAUUUGGUGGGGAGAAAAAAAAUGACUCCAAGGCUAAAUACCCAGUGUGGCUGGAGUGGAAAUGUAUUUUGUUGGAGAGACAAUCAAUAGCUUGUAUUGGCAACAAUUCUUAAUGCCUUGCUCUUCUCUGGAAGCGGAACAGGGAGAGAUGUAAACAAGUGAGUUAGUAGUCUGGUAUGGGGCAGAACAGGCAGCAGAGGGUCACGUCUCAUCCAGGAAUAUAGCAAAGCAACUGGAUGAUGAUGAAACGUCCAUCAGUACUCUCUGGUCUGGAAAACAGCUUUAAAAACAUGCAUCUGCAGUGUGUGCUCUGUCUCCUGAGUUGGCACAUAGCAGGACUCGAAUAACAAUCCAGUAGCUCAACAUCAUCCUUCACUGAUGAUAGGAAGGGGUACUGAGUUACAGUUUCCUGUUAUUCCCUAUCUGAACCUCUGUACUCGUUAUUCAUUCUAAUGGAACCAUUUUAAAUAUGCUGUAUGUGACAAAUUCUGGCCCACGUCAGCACGUUCUUCAGGAGCGCCUGAUCUGGGCCACUCCCAGACUUUUAGUCACACUCAACUUCAUGUUAGUCACCUUAUAUUUUGGGAGGAAAUGUCACUCAGGUGAAACUGGAGACCGUGAGCUGAAACCAAGUCUGUGUAGUCUGCAGCAUGGCUUUAUCUGCCCUAGGUGUGGGGUAUGGCUUGCAGCUGUUGCAGGUUUCAGCCUACAGUGGUCUGUCCUCUAAAAACAAGAACAGCACAGAACUAAAAGGCAGAGCAUGUUUUAGGAGCAGCUUAUGGAUCAGUUCACUAACGGCCACCUGCCUGCUUGGAGGAAGAUACUAAACAUCUGUACACCCUCCUAAAGCAGUUCCUGAGUGAAAACUGGAGUGUGUAAUCUAUGUCAUAUAUGCAAAUCUGUCACUUUUCACUUACCUCCACUAUUAAUUCACCAUAUUUUAAAUGUAGAAAGUUUUUUGAGAAGCUAAAUUCUGUUCCCCUAUGAUGUUUCAAGGUAAAGAACUACAAGAAAGAAAAAAAUUGAAAAGCAGAAUGCAGUCAUUUCAGAAGGUUACAGCAAAAAUAUUCUUCCUCCUUUUUCAUUUGUUUCAAAGGACUCAUAAAGCUCAAAAUUGGGCCUCGCAGGAAGAGACAAUGCUAGAACUUUGUAGCAGAUCUCUGGCUGAUGUUAAAUUUUACUGGUAUUCUGAUUGCAAGUCCUAAAUUUCAGUGGUUGCAUAUAGGAUUGGGGGUGUACAUGUAUGCGUGGCUGUUAGAUGCUGCCCAGUGCCUAAAGAGUUAACAGCCUUCACAUUGAUUAUUUCCAACGUUUACCAAACAUCAGUGGCAGUAGAAGAUAAAGAAUGUUUUCCUCUAAAGCUUCUGAAACACAAUAGAAAAGGAAGAAACAUUCAGAAAGAGGGUGAGAGAGAUAAGAGGAAGAAAAGUCCAGUAAAUGACUCUUCGAGUGUAUCACGACAUUCAAAGUUCAACAGCUGAUGUGUUUUAGUGCUGAAGUACAAAGGUGCUUUUCUGUGCCAUGCAGUUCUGCUUGUAUAACAAUGACUCAGCUAUGCAGACCUGGCUUGCAGCCUGGGUGGAGAUUCUGCCUGUAAGGGCAUUUUCAUUGCACUAAAAGCAGUGACAUGUUUGUGGGUUUGAGAGAAGCAGAAACUGUAGAUGGUUUUUAUCUAAAAAACAGGGAACUAGAAGUAGUUCGUAGCUAACACCAUGCUUAAAAGCACUGAGGCGUUAAAGAUUUCACAAUUUGUACAGGGGAGAAAAAUAUCAAUGUUUGGAUUUUAGUCUUGGGGUCAUGGGGGGGAGGAUCUUUCUGGAUAUUCUCCUUAUCAAGGGAUCCGAGCUGGAUCUGAAGACAAAGGGUCUGACAGACAAAGGCUGUUCAGAAUGGCCUUCAGUGUUGUUGUUCAAUAGAAAAAUGUUAAUUAUUCACAGCAUUCUAGACUUCUUUCUGUUUUUCAAGAUGGUUCUCUGCUAUCCUGCUGAAAAUUCCCAUCCCUGAAACCACACAGUAAAUCAGCUCAGACACAGCAAAGAAAACAGGAACAAAGAGAGCUCCUUCACUGCAGUGCAGUUUGGAUCGGCUCCAGCAGACUCGUAAGCAGGAGACAGACUGCAAAGACACAGACGUGUAAUUUUCAGAACAGACCCAGAUAUUGUCGCUUUCACUGGCAUUGUGUGCAGGCACAGACCUGUGAUUUCAGGCUGAUGCCUUUGUAAAAUGCCCUGUAAGAGUCUCCUGACAUCAGGAAGGGAAUUGCCAGAUCUUCCGCUGGAGCACUCAGAGAAGGACAAACAAGCCCAAGCAUGUUGGUGAUAGAAGCAAAGCUCUUAAAACAAAGCUGUGUCUCCUGUGUCCUGCAAAGUCAAACAAUGCUCUAAACAGGCAGGGGGACAAAUAAGUAUUGCCCAAUUUCCCUAUUUUUUUACAAGUCCAGCUAGUUCUUUUCCUGAAGUUUUCAGCUCCUGAAUUUGAUAGCUUAUUAAAAACUUUGUUUAUUUAAGUUAUUCUUAGAAUAAGGCUUAGAAAAACAAAACUCAGAGUUGUCUUUUUUUGGUAAUGUCAUAACAUUACAGUCCAUCUUACAGUACUUUGAAUUGUAACUUGUUAUUUCUGUAACCCUUGAGCUUGGCUGUACAAGGACAAACAGUAACACACCACAGCUCUAUCUGUCUUGUGACAAUUGGGCCUUAUUGCAGCAUUACAGGUUUGGGGAGAAAAUAUUUCCACAAGCAUAAAUAGAUAAAUGUAAUUGUCCUGUGUCAUAUACAGUAAGAUAAACCAGAGGUAUAUAUGAGUAAUUCUAAGAGGUAGGACAAUAUACUGUUUUUCCGUAUGGCAAGUAGCCCAUUUUUAUCUGGACAAAGGAAAAGUACUGAUCUUGCCACGCAUACACGAGUCCUCUGAUUGUCCAGCUGCCCCAAGUUAAACUUUUGUAACUAAAGAUAAACAGAUUGCUUCAUUUGACAUUGCUCAUGUGGAAAUGCUAUGCUGUUGCUAAGAUGGUAGUGUACAUAAAAACAGACACCGUGUUCUAGAAUGUUCAGAUUCAUUGGAAACAUUUCUUUGACCCCAAGUUUUCCUCUUCUGAAAGCAGGUUACUUUGUACUGCUGCCCAAUGACCUACUUCUGAAAUUGCUGGCAAGAAACACGUCCCCAGCAGCAGGCCCUGCACCCUGGCAAAGGCUGGAACCACCUGUGCACUCAGUCCAGUCACAAGAUAUGGUGAUCUGUAUUUUCAGGGAGGGCUCUGGUAUUUUCUGGAAGUGCUGAACUUCUUAAUGCAAUCCCAAAACACCCGGACCAGGCUUUAGAUUAGCUUGUGGUUAAUCUCCAGUUUAGCAGCAGUGGCCUUUCACAUUUGUAAAUAUGAUUUCUAGUUUCUCAUGGCUUUCCUCUCAGAGCUCCUUGUUUAGCUGCCUUGGCUCUAACAUCUACUGCUUUGGCACUAUGCACACAAAAUGAACCUAUUGGAAACAGUGAGCAAAGUUGGCAGUAUUAAGGAAACACAUGUAAUAUUGCUUAAAUCCGCCCUUUGUCCUAAAUCUGCGUAGCUCAAUAGUAUCUCAGGGGUUGGUGACUGCCCCAGAACAGUCUCUGAGCUUUCCAGUUACUCUUUUCCUUCCUUCCUGCCUACAUUCUGAGUAACUGCUGGAAAGAUUUAUUUCCUUUUUACUGUAAACCACGAAGUACUGAGCAGACGCGGGCCUUGCUAAAAGAAAUAAAACCAAAGGUUUUUCUUAUAAUUGAGGGAAAUACAGCUCAUAGCUCUGUGUUAAAUCCUGCUAUUCACAACAUGUUCAUGCUUCCUGAGCAGAGGAUUUACCAGCAAUUUCAUCUGCGUUCACCGAGCAGCAAAUGAAACAGCAUGAAAACCUUUUUGGAUUUUGCAUAUUCUGGUUACGAUGUAAGAGCCAGUCCGAAAGAUAUAAUGAACUUUAAUUAACACCAAGCACACUGCCACGUUGGCUCACAACAGGAAGCUGCUCUGUGACCUGUUCAGGGCUUCCUGUUCUGAAAGCAGCCGACAGCCAUUUCAGCAGCAGAGGUCUCACAGCACCAAGGAGCUGCCAGGCAGGGCAGGCUGAGGGCGGCUCAGGAAUCAGGACGAGAGCAGUGCCAGCAUGACACAUCAACAGCUGCUAAUGCUUGCCAGCUUUCUGUGUAACAUUUUCCAGCUCUUCUAACACACAUUUCUGCUCUUCUGGCUUUUCCUUACAGCCACACGCAACAGGAGCGGCCCCAGCUAUUCCAGUCUCAGAAAUGAGAUGUAAUGCUGUAGUUACGGUGUUCCUUUUGCUCCCUUCUCCCUGCCCAAAGAAAUAGCUGCCAAAAAGAUGCGGCCUAAACACAACGCGCCACCGCCACAAGGCCUGCGCGCCCUCCAUCUUCCUCCCCCCCCCGAAAUCUGCCCCCGCAGAACAGGGCCGCCCUAGCAACAGGGCUGACCUCACCGCGCACCAAUCAGAACACUGCAGCGCUCGAAUCUUCCAGAGCUUUCUUUACAACGACCUCUCCCUAUCAACCAAUCAGCAGCCACCAUUCUUACUGCUGCACCAAUCAGCGCCGACCUUGCCGCCGCUUGGAGUAGCCCGUUCACCGCAGCUCCAGAUCCAUCCGCACUCACCGAAAUUUGGGGAUUUUUAAGGGUCUCAGCUUUCUGCCGAAGACAUUAGGGACCCCCUUGGCUCCUGGAAGAGGGAUUGGAGAGGUAGAGAGGCAAGUAUUUGUUUUAGCAGGGGGGUUUUGUGAGGGACUACUUAGAGAGGUGGAUGGAUACCUUAGCGCUGGAGGGGCGGGGACUGUCUUGCGGCAGGCGCAUAAAUACGGGCGGCGCUGCGUCACUCCGCAGGACAUAGCUGUUGCAUUGGGACUUGUGUUUGUCGGGAGCUGCGCUCAGGGCCGGAGACGU